rnacentral:rRNA from 1 species
UGGGGAAUCUUGCACAAUGGGGGCAACCCUGAUGCAGCGACGCCGCGUGAGCGAUGAAGCCCUUCGGGGCGUAAAGCUCUUUCGACCGGAACGAUAAUGACGGUACCGGGAGAAGAAGCUGCGGCUAACUACGUGCCAGCAGCCGCGGUAAUACGUAGGCAGCAAGCGUUGUUCGGAGUUACUGGGCGUAAAGAGUGCGUAGGCGGUUUUCUAAGUUCGGUGUGAAAUCUCCCGGCUUAACUGGGAGGGUGCGCCGAAGACUGGGAAGCUGGAGUGUGUGAAAGGCAGGCGGAAUUCCUGGUGUAGCGGUGAAAUGCGUAGAUAUCAGGAGGAACACCGGCGGUGUAGACGGCUUGCUAGACCAUAACUGACGCUGAGGCACGAAAGCGUGGGUAGCAAACA